rnacentral:tRNA from 1 species
GAGAGCUUAGGUUAAACUAAGACCAAGGGCCUUCAAAGCCCUAAGCAGAAGGUAAAUCUUCUAGACCUCA